CGCAACGUUUUCAAAAAUCACAUUGUCGUCGACGUCGUCCUCCGCACGUAUGCACAAAUCAAAGGCAAGCGUACCAAUCAAGAGGCAUGAUUUUUUUAAUCAUAAUUUAAUAAAAAAUAAAAAGUCUGGUCGGCGACCAACACCAGUCUCCACAAUCAUCAGAGGCCAAAGAGAUCAUUCGUGCCUUAAGUGUGCGUGCCCACACACUCUCUGCUCUAGUCAACCACCCGGUCAACGUAAAUCGGGACUACAGUCGCGCCUCGAGCAGUAUGCCUAAACUUUAGACGAAACUUAUUCUCAAUCGCUUGCAAAAAAAUAGGGUGGGUACCCUUGUAAGGGUAUUUGUGCUGACAGCGUUUUGAAAUACAGAUUGAGGAGUUCAACGUGCAUGYGAGCCGGUGGGUGAUUAGCCCACGAGGCGGAAGAAACCUGUGUGGUAGGAACCCUCUGUAGGUGCGCCGUCCGCCAACCACGAUCGUCUGUGAGAGGUUUGAGUCUGAGCAUGCCCGUUGGGACCCGAAAGAUGGUGAACUAUUCCUGAGCAGGGCGAGGCCAGAGGAAACUCUGGUGGAGGCUCGCAGCAAUACUAACGUGCAAAUCGUUCGUCAAACUUGGGUAAAGGGGCGAACGACUAAUCAAACCGUCUAGUAGCCGGUUCCCUUCGAAGUUUCCCUCAUGAUAGCUGGAGCUGUUGAAUAGUUUUAUCGGCUAAAGCGAAUGAUUAGAGGCCUUGGGGGCGACGGGGGGUGAAACACCCUCGACGUAUUCUCAAACUUUCAAUAGGUAAGAUUUUGGGGUUGCUUAAGCGAACCCCGAGGAUCAAUGAAAGCUCCAAGUGGGYCAUUUUUGGUAAGCAGAACUGGCGAUGCGGGAUGAACCGAAAGUCGAGCUACGGUGCCAAACUGCGCACUAACCCAGACACCACAGAGGGUGUUGAUUGAUACAGAUAGCAGGGCAGUGGUCAUGGAAGUCGAAAUCCGCUAAGGAGUGUGUAACAACUUACCUGCCGAAUCAAUCAGCCCCGAAAAUGGAUGGCGCCGAAGCGUGCAACCUAUGCUCGGUCGUUGUGGCAAUUUCGACGUCGUGACAAGUAGGAGGGCAUGGGGCCUGCUGCGAAGCCUGGAGCGUGAGCCUAGGUGAAGCGGGUCCCGGUACAGAUCUUGGUGGUAGUAGCAAAUAUUCAAAUGAGAACUUUGAAGACGGAAGUGGAGAAGGGUUCCAUGUGAACUGCGCUUGGACAUGGGUCAAUCAACCAUAAGAGAUGUGGAAACCUUGUAUCAAGGGCGCACUGCGCGCCACACAUCGAAAGGGGGUCGGGUUAAUAUUCCCGAACCGGGUUAUGGAGGGGGAUGGUAACGUAAGCAGCUCCGGAGAUGCAGGCGGGGGCCGUGGGGAGGGUUCUCUUUCCUUCUUGACGGUUCGCCCACCCUGGAAUUGGAUGAACCGGAGAUAGGGUGCAGCGCCCGGCAAAACACCACGCAUCCUGUGGUGUCCAGCGUGCCCCCGACGACCUUUGAAAAUCUGGAGUUGCGGGUACCUCUCACGCCCGRCCGUACUCAUAACCGCAUCAGGUCUCCUAGGUGAGCAGCCUUUGAUGAAAGGAAGAAUGUAGGUAAGGGAAACCAGCAAUAUGGAUCCGUAACCUUGGGAAAAGGAUUGGCUCUGAGGGUUGGGCCUAGGGGUCUGCGCCUCGAUGUCGUUGGCUGUCGGUGGUCUGCUCGAGAUGCUCUCUCGGCGAGGGCGGAGCCCGCGUGCCGGUGUGUCGACGGGCGUAGAAUGUUUUAUGUCCCCACCUUUCAGGUGGGGCCGUGGGACUCUCCCUAAGCAUCAAACUGCCGACUCAGAACUGGUGCGAACAAGGGGAAUCCGACUGUUUAAUUAAAACAAAGCAUUGCGAUGGUCCCAACGGAUGUUGACGCAAUGUGAUUUCUGCCCAGUGCUCUGAAUGUCAAAGUGAAGAGAUUCAACCAAGCUCGGGUAAACGGCGGGAGUAACUAUGACUCUGUUAAGGUAGCCAAAUGCCUCGUCAUCUAAUUAGUGACGCACAUGAAUGGAUUAACGAGAUUCCCACAGUCCCUAUCUACCAUCCUGCGAAACCACACCCAAGGGAACGGGCUUGGAAGAAUCGGCGGGUAAAGAAGACCCUGUAGAGCUUGACUCUAGUUUGAAAACUUCGACUCUGUGAAAUGACUUGAGAGGUGUAAAAUAAGUGGGAGUUUUACGACGCAAGUGAAAUAUCACUACUUUUAACCUUAUUUUACUUAUUUCGUGAGGUGGAGCCAGGUCUCUGCGCCUGCUUCUCGAUCCAAGGUGCAGGCCCUCGUGGCCUGUCCAAUCCAAGCAAAAGACAUUGUCGGGUGCAGAGUUUGGCUGGGGCGACACAUCUGUUAGAAGAUAACGCAGGUGUCCUAGGAUGAGCUCAACGAGAACAGAAAUUUCAUGUGGAGAAAAAGGGCAAAAACUCAUUUGAUUCUAAUUACCAGUACAAAUACAAAAUGUGAGAACAUGGCCAAUCGAUCCUUUAGCGUUUCAGGACUUGAAGGUAGAGGUGUCAGAAAAGUUACCACAGGGAUAACUAGCUUGUGGCAGCCAAGCAUUCAUAGUAGCGUUGCUUUUUUAUCCUUCGAUGUCGGCUCUUUCUAUCAUUGUGAAGCAGAAUUCACAAAGUGAUGGAUUGUUCACCCACCAACGGGGAACGUGAGUUUGGUUUAGACCGUUGUGAGACAGGUUAGUUUUACCCUACUGAUGCACCGCCGUCGCAAUGGUAAUCCAACCCAGUACGAGAGGAACCGUUGGUUCGCACAAUUGGCAAUUGUGCCUGGCUGAAAAGCCAGGGGUGCAAAGAUACUGUGCGUGGGAUUAUGACUGAACGCCUCUAAGUCAGAAUUUGUGCUUGCAAUGACGGCGUAUGCCUCCUCGGAUGACACACGGCUGUCGAUAGGGCCAGCCCGUCUAGCCCCGAAAGCAUAAGUUUGGAGGGGUCCCUCCUGCGGCGGAGCACCGACGCCCUGGGGUCUCUUCA
rnacentral:rRNA from 1 species